rnacentral:ncRNA from 2 species
GUGUUCCUCACUGGAGAGUGGCGCUGUCGUCGAGCGCUCACCGAAGGGGCAAGUCUGGUCGCUGACCAGAUCAAUCUCUCAGGUACCCGGGACAGCGAGGGGUUG